rnacentral:rRNA from 1 species
UACGAAGGGUGCAAGCGUUACUCGGAAUUACUGGGCGUAAAGCGUGCGUAGGCGGUUUGUUAAGUCUGAUGUGAAAGCCCUGGGCUCAACCUGGGAAUUGCAUUGGAUACUGGCAGGCUAGAGUGCGGUAGAGGAUGGCGGAAUUCCCGGUGUAGCAGUGAAAUGCGUAGAGAUCGGGAGGAACAUCUGUGGCGAAGGCGACUUACUGGACACAUAUUGACGCUGAGGUGCGAAAGCGUGGGGAGCAAACAGG